rnacentral:rRNA from 2 species
AAAGGCGAAAAGAACCCCUGUGAGGGGAGUGAAAUAGAUCCUGAAACCGCAUGCAUACAAGCAGUGGGAGCCGACUUGUUCGGUGACUGCGUACCUUUUGUAUAAUGGGUCAGCGACUUAUAUUCAGUAGCAAGGUUAACCGCAUAGGGGAGCCGUAGAGAAAUCGAGUCUUAAUAGGGCGUAUAGUUGCUGGGUAUAGACCCGAAACCGGGUGAUCUAUCCAUGAGCAGGUUGAAGGUUGGGUAACACUAACUGGAGGACCGAACCCACUGUCGUUGAAAAGCCAGGGGAUGACUUGUGGAUAGGGGUGAAAGGCUAAUCAAACUCGGUGAUAGCUGGUUCUCCCCGAAAGCUAUUUAGGUAGCGCCUCGGACGAAUACCAUAGGGGGUAGAGCACUGUUUCGGCUAGGGGGUCAUCCCGACUUACCAAACCGAUGCAAACUCCGAAUACCUAUGAGUACUAUCCGGGAGACAGACUGCGGGUGCUAACGUCCGUAGUCAAGAGGAAAACAAUCCAGACCGCCAGCUAAGGCCCCAAAAUCAUAGUUAAGUGGGAAACGAUGUGGGAAGGCAUAGACAGCUAGGAGGUUGGCUUAGAAGCAGCCACCCUUUAAAGAAAGCGUAAUAGCUCACUAGUCGAGUCGGCCUGCGCGGAAGAUGUAACGGGGCUAAAACUAUGUGCCGAAGCUGCGGAUUUGACUUUAAGUCAAGUGGUAGGGGAGCGUUCUGUAAGCCGAUGAAGGUGUAUUGAGAAGUAUGCUGGAGGUAUCAGAAGUGCGAAUGCUGACGUGAGUAACGACAAAACGGGUGAAAAACCCGUUCGCUGAAAGACCAAGGGUUCCAGUCCAACGUUAAUCGGGGCUGGGUGAGUCGACCCCUAAGGCGAGGCCGAAAGGCGUAGUCGAUGGGAAAUUGGUUAAUAUUCCAAUACUUCUGUUUAAUGCGAUGAGAGGACGGAGAAGGUUAAGUCAGCCUGGCGUUGGUUGUCCAGGUGGAAGGAAGUAGGCAUGCAUCUUAGGCAAAUCCGGGGUGCUCUAUGCUGAGAUCUGAUAGCAAGCUAGUUUACUAGCGAAGUGGCUGAUACCAAGCUUCCAGGAAAAGUCUCUAAGCUUCAGUUAAACAGGAAUCGUACCCUAAACCGACACAGGUGGUCAGGUCGAGUAGACCAAAGCGCUUGAGAGAACUCUGCUGAAGGAACUAGGCAAAAUGGUACCGUAACUUCGGGAGAAGGUACGCUGUUGUUGGUGAUAGGACUUGCUCCUUGAGCUGAUGACAGCCACAGAAACCAGGCCGCUGCAACUGUUUAUUAAAAACAUAGCACUCUGCAAACACGAAAGUGGACGUAUAGGGUGUGAUGCCUGCCCGGUGCUGGAAGGUUAAUUGAUGGGGUUAGCGUAAGCGAAGCUCUUGAUCGAAGCCCCAGUAAACGGCGGCCGUAACUAUAACGGUCCUAAGGUAGCGAAAUUCCUUGUCGGGUAAGUUCCGACCUGCACGAAUGGCAUAAUGAUGGCGGCGCUGUCUCCAGCAGAGGCUCAGUGAAAUCGAAAUCGCUGUGAAGAUGCAGUGUACCCGCGGCUAGACGGAAAGACCCCGUGAACCUUUACUGCAGCUUGACAUUGAACUUUGACCUUACUUGUGUAGGAUAGGUGGGAGGCUUUGAAGUGGUGACGCCAGUUGCCAUGGAGCCAUCCUUGAAAUACCACCCUGGUAAUGUUGAGGUUCUAACUCUGCUCCCUAAUCGGGAGCGAGGACCAUGUCUGGUGGGUAGUUUGACUGGGGCGGUCUCCUCCUAAAGAGUAACGGAGGAGUACGAAGGUGCGCUCAGCGUGGUCGGAAAUCACGCGUAGAGUAUAAAGGCAAAAGCGCGCUUAACUGCGAGACCCACAAGUCGAGCAGGUACGAAAGUAGGUCUUAGUGAUCCGGUGGUUCUGUAUGGAAGGGCCAUCGCUCAACGGAUAAAAGGUACUCUGGGGAUAACAGGCUGAUACCGCCCAAGAGUUCAUAUCGACGGCGGUGUUUGGCACCUCGAUGUCGGCUCAUCUCAUCCUGGGGCUGAAGCAGGUCCCAAGGGUAUGGCUGUUCGCCAUUUAAAGAGGUACGCGAGCUGGGUUUAGAACGUCGUGAGACAGUUCGGUCCCUAUCUACCGUGGGCGCUGGAAAUUUGAGAGGAUCUGCUCCUAGUACGAGAGGACCAGAGUGGACGAACCUCUGGUGUACCGGUUGUGACGCCAGUCGCAUCGCCGGGUAGCUAUGUUCGGAAGGGAUAACCGCUGAAAGCAUCUAAGCGGGAAGCCUACCUCAAGAUAAGAUUUCCCUAGGACUUUAUGUCCUCUAAAGAUCCGUUCGAGACUAGGACGUUGAUAGGUUGGAUGUGGAAGCACGGUGACAUGUGAAGCUGACCAAUACUAAUUGAUCGUGAGGCUUGACUAU